rnacentral:rRNA from 1 species
CCUACGGGAGGCAGCAGUGGGGAAUAUUGGACAAUGGGCGAAAGCCUGAUCCAGCAAUGCCGCGUGAGUGAUGAAGGCCUUAGGGUUGUAAAGCUCUUUUACCAGGGAUGAUAAUGACAGUACCUGGAGAAUAAGCUCCGGCUAACUCCGUGCCAGCAGCCGCGGUAAUACGGAGGGAGCUAGCGUUGUUCGGAAUUACUGGGCGUAAAGCGUACGUAGGCGGUUAUUCAAGUCAGAGGUGAAAGCCCGGGGCUCAACCCCGGAACGGCCUUUGAAACUAGGUAGCUAGAGUCUUGGAGAGGUUAGUGGAAUUCCGAGUGUAGAGGUGAAAUUCGUAGAUAUUCGGAAGAACACCAGUGGCGAAGGCGACUAACUGGACAAGUACUGACGCUGAGGUACGAAAGCGUGGGGAGCAAACAGGAUUAGAUACCCUGGUAGUCCACGCCGUAAACGAUGAUAACUAGCUGUUCGGGCACUUGGUGCCUGAGUGGCGCAGCUAACGCAUUAAGUUAUCCGCCUGGGGAGUACGGUCGCAAGAUUAAAACUCAAAGGAAUUGACGG